rnacentral:rRNA from 1 species
CGGCGUCACAAGUGGCAAUCACAUUUAUUGGGUCUAAAGCGUUCGUAGCCGGUUUGAUAAAUCUUUUGUGAAAUUGUCAAGCUCAACUUGACAACCUGCAGAAGACACUAUUAGACUUGAGACUGGGAGGGGUCAGAAGUAUUUCAUGAGGAGCGGUAAAAUGUUAUAAUCCAUGAAAGACUGCCAAUGGCGAAGGCAUCUGACCAGAACGGAUCUGACGGUGAGGAACGAAGGCCAGGGUAGCGAACCGGAUUAGAUACCCGAGUAGUCC